rnacentral:rRNA from 1 species
UACGUAGGGUGCGAGCGUUGUCCGGAAUUAUUGGGCGUAAAGGGCUCGUAGGCGGUUUGUUGCGUCCGCUGUGAAAACUCGGGGCUUAACCCCGAGCCUGCAGUGGAUACGGGCAGACUAGAGGUAGGUAGGGGAGAAUGGAAUUCCCGGUGUAGCGGUGAAAUGCGCAGAUAUCAGGAGGAACACCGGUGGCGAAGGCGGGUCUCUGGGCCGAUACUGACGCUGAGGAGCGAAAGCGUGGGGAGCGAACAGG